GCUAAGAAUAUCCCUCUUAAUUGUAUUUCUACAGGAAACAUGAAAGAGAGGUUGUAGAGAAGGGAUGAACCUUUUGAAAUAUAGGUGGUCCACCACAGAUAGAGGAUACUCGUGCAUUACUAUGGCUAAGCCUAACUCUUUCCUUGACACUUUGACAUUCAAGGUGGUAGCAGCGAGUUCCUUCUUGGAAUUAGAGGCCAAGUUUUGGCCAAGUGUUUUCAGUUUUUUGUCAUGAAGCUGUCAUUGAAUGCAAGCUAAUUUAUGACUCUUCAAAUGAGAAGUUCCAUUGUUCGAGUCCCCACCUAGCAGCUUCCGACAGUGCUUGCACCUAGCCUUGACAAAUUCCCCAAUUCUCAUUUUGUACAAAUGACUCCAAACUUCACUGGUGAGCUUACUCAUAUCUAAAAAUUCUUUAAUUGGCUUAGAAUUAGGUUGAGGAGCUGAUGUACCGGUAAUUUGAGCCUCCUGUGUAUGUGCUUAGAAUUAGGUUGAGGGCAGCUGCACUCGAAGGUGGUGUAACCAAACCACCAUUACUACAUAGAUUAUGAGAGGGAAGUUGGUUAUCCAUUACUAUGCAAAUUUGAUCCUACAUGUUUUGAAAAGUGAAGAGGUUGAUUGAGAAGCAGUUUAUACUUUAUAGGAGCAGAUUAUUAUAUACAUAAGUAAAUUACAGAAGCAGUUUAGAUAAUCUAAUUUCAUAAGUAGAUUAAAGAAGCUGAUUAGGAUUGAGAAAUUUUUUAGAUUAAAGUUGCAGAUUUAGGAGACUUAAUCAGAUUUUAGAUUCAAAGCAAUAUUAAUUUAGUAAUUGAAACUUAGUUUUGAAAAGCAUACUUGCAGAUUCAACAACAAUCAAAUUUUGUCUAAAUGAUCAUCAACUAUAACAAGCUUUCAAGUGUCAAAUAAUCAACAAGCAUAAUCAAACAAUUCUAAAUGAUUAAUGAUCAAACUCAGAAGUUAAACCAAGAACUAUCGUCACCAAGCAUGAUCAAACUAUCAUCAGCAACAACAAUCUUACUACAAUGACUUUCAAACUUAAUCAACAUUCUUAUCAUCAACCAACUAAUCAACAUAGCAGAAAAAUUAACCCACUACCUACCUCAAAAUAGUUAGUCCUUGAUUAUGUACCAUGUUAUUGAGUAGUAACCAAAACUAGCUACUACUCUGAAUCACUAAUGUUGCCGUCAAACCUGCAAUAAUGAAACAACAAUGGAUAACAUCUACUAGUCUAGCAUUCAGCAAUGGAUAACAGGAUAAGAAACUCAUAAAUAUUAAAAACCAUAUCGAGUAUGAACCCCUUACUCAGCUAGCCUACAACUCUCUGCAACUAUCACUAAGGUCUACGAUGCUGGCAAUUUCUCAAUACUGGAACCACAAUUUUGCUGAAACUAAUUUCCUACUAGAAUGAAUAAACAAACAUAGUGUUAGACAAUAAAUUAACAGUAAAUAUCUCUCGAAGAUUAAGCAAAAAGGUAAGGAUAAACACUAAAUAGGAAGAAAUUGGUGAUUGAUUGACAAAUUUUUCGGCUAGAGAAUUAAAAAUCAAUAUAUCAAGAGACUAAAGAGGAGCAGAGUUCUAUAAGAGAAGAGGAUCGGGUGAAGAUGUGAUUAAUGGGUAGGAUAUUUCGCGAAGGAGAGGAGAUUAGGGUUGGAGUUGGGUGAAGACGUGCCGGAAUGACCGAUGGUGGAAAU
rnacentral:lncRNA from 1 species